rnacentral:rRNA from 4 species
UUUGACCUCGGAUCAGGUAGGAAU